rnacentral:rRNA from 1 species
UGCAGUCGAGCGGAUGACGGGAGCUUGCUCCUUGAUUCAGCGGCGGACGGGUGAGUAAUGCCUAGGAAUCUGCCUGGUAGUGGGGGACAACGUUUCCAAAGGAACGCUAAUACCGCAUACGUCCUACGGGAGAAAGCAGGGGACCUUCGGGCCUUGCGCUAUCAGAUGAGCCUAGGUCGGAUUAGCUUGUUGGUGAGGUAAUGGCUCACCAAGGCGACGAUCCGUAACUGGUCUGAGAGGAUGAUCAGUCACACUGGAACUGAGACACGGUCCAGACUCCUACGGGAGGCAGCAGUGGGGAAUAUUGGACAAUGGGCGAAAGCCUGAUCCAGCCAUGCCGCGUGUGUGAAGAAGGUCUUCGGAUUGUAAAGCACUUUAAGUUGGGAGGAAGGGCAGUAAGUUAAUACCUUGCUGUUUUGACGUUACCGACAGAAUAAGCACCGGCUAACUCUGUGCCAGCAGCCGCGGUAAUACAGAGGGUGCAAGCGUUAAUCGGAAUUACUGGGCGUAAAGCGCGCGUAGGUGGUUUGUUAAGUUGGAUGUGAAAGCCCCGGGCUCAACCUGGGAACUGCAUCCAAAACUGGCAAGCUAGAGUACGGUAGAGGGUGGUGGAAUUUCCUGUGUAGCGGUGAAAUGCGUAGAUAUAGGAAGGAACACCAGUGGCGAAGGCGACCACCUGGACUGAUACUGACACUGAGGUGCGAAAGCGUGGGGAGCAAACAGGAUUAGAUACCCUGGUAGUCCACGCCGUAAACGAUGUCAACUAGCCGUUGGAAUCCUUGAGAUUUUAGUGGCGCAGCUAACGCAUUAAGUUGACCGCCUGGGGAGUACGGCCGCAAGGUUAAAACUCAAAUGAAUUGACGGGGGGCCCGCACAAGCGGUGGAGCAUGUGGUUUAAUUCGANCACGCGAAGAACCCUUACCAGUCCUUGACAUGCAG